rnacentral:rRNA from 1 species
GACGAACGCUGGCGGCGUGCUUAACACAUGCAAGUCGAACGGAAAGGCCCUGCUUUUGUGGGGUGCUCGAGUGGCGAACGGGUGAGUAACACGUGAGUAACCUGCCCUUGACUUUGGGAUAACUUCAGGAAACUGGGGCUAAUACCGGAUAGGAGCUCCUGCUGCAUGGUGGGGGUUAGAAAGUUUCGGCGGUUGGGGAUCGACUCGCGGCUUAUCAGCUUGUUGGUGGGGUAGUGGCUUACCAAGGCUUUGACGGGUAGCCGGCCUGAGAGGGUGACCGGCCACAUUGGGACUGAGAUACGGCCCAGACUCCUACGGGAGGCAGCAGUGGGGAAUAUUGCACAAUGGGCGGAAGCCUGAUGCAGCAACGCCGCGUGCGGGAUGACGGCCUUCGGGUUGUAAACCGCUUUCGCCUGUGACGAAGCGUGAGUGACGGUAAUGGGUAAAGAAGCACCGGCUAACUACGUG